UUUUAUUUAGCUUUAAAUUUUGUCUACCAUAUUGAUAGAUCUAUUCAAUUUCUGGGAAGCAUAGAGAGAGGACAAAAAUAUCCUGUUUUGUAAGCUUUGAAUUGAGAAACGGUAGAAAUUAAAUAAGGGGAACAGUUUAUCUAUGAUGUAGUCAAUUAAAAUCAUUCUUAUAUUACCACCAAAUAUGUGUCUUUUGAGUGGAAUGAUGGAAUCUGGUCAUUUGUAGCAAAAUGAAUGAAACUAGACAUUUUGUUAAAUCAUCUCAUCUUGGAGGUUGGCUACCAUGCUCAGCCCACAAGGCAAUGGAUCAUAAAGGAGUGUGAAAUCCAAGAUGUAUUUGAACUAAGAUUCUCUAACAUCAAAGAAGCUUGUAUGAGGAUUGGAGAAAGAUUUUGAGAUGUUGUGAAAGCCCAGUGGUCCCCAUGGUUCCCAAUGAGCUGCUUUCCAGAAUGUAUCUGGCCAAGCCAACCGCCAUCUUUUCUGUUUGCUCAAUCUUAUCACGUGAUCGCAUACUACAAAAUCAUCUCAGCAAGAGUUCCACGUUAUGUACCAAAAAUAUCAUCUAUUUAUAGCAUCAAUUAUUUUAAAACCAAGCACCAGGAGUCAUAUUUUCAUGCGAUUAAAUAUCCUAUAGUUAUUUUAUAAAAUCUUGAAAUGGAUAUGUAUUUAUAAUUAACAGGGCUUUUUUGAGUGUUUAAUAGAUAUUUGUGAAUGUAUUAACAUUCCAAUUUUAAUAUGCUCCUUCUUACAAGCACGUCUUUUACCUCAAAGAAUUAUGAGACAAUGAAAAAAUGGGGAAAUGAUAGAUGUAAAAAAAUUUCAACGAGGAUCUCUUUCUUUUUGAAGCAAGAGUAAGAUGUACACUGAUAUUUCAUUUAAAUCUCCAUUAACCUGCUGAGAAGAUAGUUUCCUGUAGAGCACUGGAGGAGAAGAUGUAACUCUAGAAAAGUGAGGAUAAUGUUUGAAAUGCAAAGUCAAUAAAACAGACAUUAUUCCACCGACCUCUUGAGGUCUGUCUGAAGAUCAUUCUAAUUCUGAAGAUUGAAGGAUGUGUUCUUAAAGAUUCUAGAGGAAGAGCUGAACUCUUUUUUAUUCCUUUUCCUUGUCUUACUUCCCAGAUUCCUCCUACCCUGUUUACUACCUGGAUUCACCUUCAAUAUGAACUGUGUUUGAAUGCUAUUUCUGGGGGAAUCUAAGUUAAAAUCUUAAGUUUUAAAGGACAUUUAACAUAAGUGUUUCUUGGAAAUACAUUAACAAUUUACAAAGAGAAAACUGAAGAAUUGUGUCAGUAUCCUUUAUUAUGGAAAAGUUUGUUUGUUUGUUUGUUUUUAAACUGGGACAAAUAAACUGAGUCUGUAGGAAGUGUUGAGUAAUUGAGUGAGUUUGAGAUCUGAGGUUUACCUGAAUUAAAUCUCAUUCCUCACUCAGACAACUGAAUAGCAACUAACCAAAUAAUGCAAUUAACAAAUAAGCAAAUGAUCUGAACGGACGUAUUUUGCAAAAGAAGAUAUACAAAUGGCUAGAAAGUAUCUGAAAAAAUGCCCAACAUCAUUAGUUGUCAAAGAAAUGCCAACCAAAACCACAAGAGGAAAAUGCUCAUCUCAAUACUAAUAUAAUACUCAAAAGAAUUGAAGUCAUUAUGUCCAAGAGCUACCUGUACAUUCAUAUUUAUUGUGGACUCUUCCCAAAAACCAACAUACAGAAUCAAUCAAGAUGUCCAUCAAUGUAGGAAUGGGUAAAAAUGAGAUAUAUACACACAUAAUGGAAUAUUAUUCAGUGAUAGAAAGGAUGGGGUCAUCAUUUGUAGCAAAAUGAAUGAAACUAGAGGAUAUUUUGUUAAAUGUAAUAAACCAGUCACAGAAAUACCAAUGCUACACGUCCUCAUUUUUGGAAGUUAAAAAGUGUUGAUCACAUAGAAGUAGAGAGUAGAUAGAGGUCACGAGAAGACAGGGAGGGAAGUUUGAAGGGACAUAGUAAUUGGGUGGAUAAUGGGUGCCAAAACAUCAUUGUGGGGGAAGUAGUUCUAAAUGUUAUAUGGCAUAAUAAAUAAGGCAACUAUAGUCUAUGACAGUUAAUUAUAUGUUUAAGAAUACUAAAAAAGAAGAGAUAGAAGAUUCCCAAUGCAUGGGAAUGAUACCAUCCCAGGAGAUGGACAUGUUAAUUAACUAAUUUGAUCCUUACACAUUGUAUACAUGUAUCAAAUUACAACUCAAUAAAUAAGUACAAAUAUAUGUCAAUUUUAAAGUAAAAUAAAAAAUCUUAUUCCUUGUUCAACAUAUUUCUAUGUAGUUGGCUUGAAUUUAGAUAUUGCAGAUACAACCUUGAGCAAGGUAGGCAAAGUCUAGCCUCAUACACAGGAGACAACAGAAAAUUGCAAGUAAAGUGAACAGUCAAUGAACUCGUAGAGCAGUUUGUUGUAUGGAAAAAUAGAACAGAAUAACUGCAUAAUUUAUUAAUUAUUAACUGAUUUAUUAAUUCCUCUAGAGCAUAUUUAUAACCUACCAGUAUAAGAUAGUUAAACGCCAAUUUCUAAGAAACAUCAAACCACAUGAUUUCUAAUAGAAGUUUAAAAGAUGAAUAUUAUAUAUUGGGUUUCAAAAAUGGUGAUAAAAAUUGAACAAAAGGAUCGUUGUCUUUUUUUCAGUUUAAUACAAUUUUCUAGAAUGAAUUAUCAUGCUUGUAAUUUAUACAACUUUGAAAAAUACUAUAGAUAAUCUCUAGGAGCUUCCAUAUAUUCAUUCAAAACAAAUGAUGCCAAAUUCACAUGAUUUUCCAUUUCAUUAUAACCUCCAGAGAACAGGAAAUCCCAAGGAUCAAACACAUUUUAAUUACAUCAAUGCAUCUGAAAAUAUCUUUGUUGAGAAUUUCAUGGUUAAGUAGUGAAUUGAGUGAUAGAACUGUUGAUUUUAGUGACUUGAACAUAUGCUUGCUGUGUGUUAGUGAAAAGCUGUGUAGUUUUCUAAUGGAAUUUGAGUAUAGUUUUAGUUCUUUGGGCUCAAUAUUCCUAUUGAUAAUUUUGAUAAAGUUUUAAAAGGGAGAAUGUCUAGGUGGGAUGCCUAGCCAAACCGAUAAGUGAUUGACACAACAAAAAGGUGAUGUCAACUAACAGAGACACACUGGUCCAAAACCAGUGAAAUGAGAUUAAGCAGAAACAAGUUUCAAGUUCUGUUUAGGUUCAGCAAGUCAGCCACAUGAGAGUGAGCUGGCUUGGCCAUAGUACAGAUGGCAAAGUUCUGGGAUUUCCAUUUGAUGACAACCAUAAAAUAAGCCAAUAGUAUGAUGUGGCUGUUAGGAAAAUAGACUAGCACAAUCUUAGGUUGCAUUAGUGAAAUAUUGUGUCUAGCACAAUGGAAGCAGUAGAAAAGAACAUUUCACCAAAUUCUAUCCUAGUAAGCUGACUUAUGGAAUAAAGUGUCAAAUUCCUUGCAUUAUAUUUUAGGACUUCUCUAACUGAAAUGUGUUUGGAGGAAGGCACACAGAAUUCUGAAAAAAAAUUAUCUUUUCAGGCAAAUCUGUAUACAAAACAUUAUUUUCCUAUAGGAGAAAAGAUCAAACAGAUAUUUUCAGGGUGCCUUUGUUGGUGUUUAAGAAAUCAGAGAGGGUUCAUCUAGACUAUAAGUUUGAAGUUAGAAUGAGAUACUUACCCUAACAUGAAGAAAAAAGUAGUGUUUGCCAACACAUGGCUAACAUGUGAGAGGGGAUCCCUUGUACUAAAAUCUUUUAGUCCAAAAGAUUCAUCCAGAGUGAAAAUUCAGAUCAAUUAGCUUAUCAUUUUUCUAUCCUACAUUAAAAAAUUGCUCUGAAAUUUCUAGGGUUAAAACAUUUUUAUUUUGCUCAUGCUGUUAUGGCUCAGGACCUCAGAUUAUUUUUUCAUUUGAAGUGUCUCCAGAAAUGGCAGUAAUAUACCUAAUGGAGCUAGACCCACAUGAAGAAUUUACUGGGUUGGAUGCCUAAGGUGGCUCUCUUACCUGACUGAAAGGUUUUUCUGGCAGUUGGCUGAGAGCUCAGUUAGUGUUGCCAACUAGGGCGUGUACCUGUGGCCUCUUUCUUUGCCCUCAAAUUCCUUACAGCAUGUUUGCUUCAGAGUAGCUGGGAUUCUUGCAUAGCAGCUCAGAGAUUUAAAAUCAUAUGUCUCAGUGCACCUGGCAGAAGCUGUGUUACCCUAAUGGUAUAGCCUUAGAACCCAUGCUACUCAUUUCCUC
rnacentral:lncRNA from 1 species